CAAAUUGCUACAUCAUGUAUCACCUGUAUUUUGUUUUUUUGUUUUGUUUUUUUAAAAUAGAUUCCAUAAUGUGUAAGGUGCAUUAUUUCCUGACAUGCUGCAUGUGCUGAUAAAGACGUAUCGUGCACGGUGCACUCCAGAGCUGUCAUUGGCUGAGUGCUGCUGUACCCCAUGCAGGACAGCGAUAUGCUGGAGUGCAUUUGAUGAUGCUGUGCACUUGUGAGGGACUGACAAACACGAUGUGUGUUCAGCGCAUCAUCGAUACGCUCGGCUGUACAUCCUGGUUUGAAAUGGCAAGCAUUGAAGUGCACCUGCUUUGUUAGCAUUUGCAAACAGUGUGAUUAUAGAACUGGGCCAGCCCUGGCUAGAAGCGAUAAGCGGCAACUUGGGGACCUGUAGUCACUUAGGGGGCCCACGAAGGUCCUGAAAUCCCAUUAAAAAAAAUGAUUUCACUUAUUUUUCAAAGGAUGUUUUGUGGUGGGGAAAAAUUGCUUUAAACAUCCUCCUCCAACCCAUUUUCGAUGGAUAUCCCCACGCGCGCGCACACACGCGCACGUGCAAACAAAUGCACGUGCAUCAAUAGUACUAGUGGCUCAUUCUCUUGAACCGCUUAUUUAACCUGUGAAAUUUUCAGUCUGGUACUAUGAUACAGCGUUUUAAAGUGUUAAAACAUGGUAAUGUAUCUAAACUAUUUUACGAUGCCAACGUUUUUGCAACAAUUAUUUUUUAACAUGGGGUGGCAAAACGAGCUUUGGUGUCCUCACCUUUUGCGUUUUGGAAAUCCACAGGCAACAUGUGUCGAUAUAAGUCGAUAUGCUUAUCACAGCAAGAAUCCAGCAAACAAAAUCCAUAGUAAUUUUUAGUCCCAAAACAGAACCUUCAAGAGAAUGUGACCCAUUGUUUAAUUUGACAAAAAUUCUCUGGAGGAAUUAUCAGUUUCACUGUUGCAUACAUGCCAAAAAUCUUGUGUACUACAGAAUGUUGUUAUUUCUGGUUUAAGAGAUUCUCUGGAACAAAACGAGCCUUCUCUGUAAGCUGUCUCUCUGACCAGUACAGGCCAAGCAGUCCCUCACUAUAGCCAAUGAGAUCUGCAACUACUCAACAUGGACAAUGUCUGCCCAGUACACUGCCGGCCAGCGGCAAGCAAUUAGUGAAUAUUGAGUAUUUUAGAUACACCGUUAGAAAUGUAGUUUCAUUAUUACGCUUGCAUAAAAGAACACGUUUUCUCCUGCAUAAAAAAAAAAAACAUAUUUUUUCCGGUGUGGAUAGUACAUCAUACUAUCCACACUGGAAACAUUAUGCAUGAGUCUCAACGUUCUAGAGACUUCAUGCCUUCAAACGUUGUUUUACAACAAAAUUAUUUUGCAAUUAGUAUGUUAAUAACUAAUGUAUAUUUUCUACAAUCUUCCAGAAGUUGGAAAGGCAAGAAGGGGGAGGGGGAGGCUGACAGACAGCAGGAAAGCAAGCCACUACUACUUCCAUGAGCAUAUAGUAUAACGUGCACUAUAUCACCGAAGAUCAGUGUGGAAGAACUUGACUGGCCUGCACAGGGCCUUGACCUCAAACUCAUCCAACACCUCUGGGAUCGUUUGGAUAGCCAACUGCAAGGCAGGCCUAAAUGCCCAAUCAGUGCCUGACCUCACUAAUGCUGUUCUGACUGAAAGUAAGCAAAGCCCUCCAGCAAUGUUCCCACGUAUAGUAUAAAGCCAUCCCAGAAGAGUGCAGGCUGUUAUAGCAGCAAAAGGUGGACCACCUCCAUAUCAAUGCCUAUAAUUUUGGAUGAGAUGUUGGAUGUCAGGUGCUAACAUACUUUUGGCCAUGUAGUGUACGAGGAACUAUAACUGAGCUAGCAGUCCUGUAUAUUGGCCAUGUUGUGUAUAAUGAAUUUUACACCUCUAAUGACACAUCAUUUGGUUAGCAAGUGUUCGUUUGGAGUCUCCAAAAGUCUUUUUUGGAAACUUGCCUAGAUAUAGCUCUGGAAAACAAAACAACACAGAAUGCUUUGUUUUGGUGGUGUUAUCAACCUUAAACCAAGAUUUUGUCCAUCUUUGUAGCUGUGUCUGGAUUGUACUUCUAAGCCCAUCAGGCACAGCCUCAUCGCAUUUGUAUCCACUCUAAUAAAAAUGAGUUGAUGUUCA